GAUCCUGUCUCAAAAAAAAAAAAACAACCCAAAAAUGCACUUUGACUGGCUUCACCAACGUGCAGAAAAGCAGAUGUAUCAGAUCUGCUGUCAGCACAACAGGCUUCCCCUUAAACACUCCCAACGCCUUACAAAUGCUCAUUAGCCAGAGUGCCAGGCAACCUCAUGCACCCAAGGAAAAAAGAAAAGAUACCCCAAAAGCAGUGACUCUGAGGUCACAGAACUACUCCACAGGCCGGGCACACUGGCUCACGCCUGUAAUCCCAGCACUUUGGGAGGCCGAGGUAGAUGGAUCACCUGAGGUCAGGAGUUUGAGACCAGCCUGGCCAAACUGGCAAAACCCCGUCUCUACUAAAAAUACAAAAAGUAGCUGAGCGUGGUGGCAUAUGCCUGUAAUCCCAGCUACUCAAGAGGCUGAGGCAAGAGACUCACUUGAACCAGGAGAUGGAGGUUGCAAUGAGCCAAGAUCGCACACUGACUGUGUUAUGCCCUGUGCAGGCGUGAGAGCCUGACAGUGACCUUGAAGGUCAGGACCCUCCCUGUGGCAGCGAGGGAAACCGAGGCCCAGUGAAGUUGAUGGCCAUCAGAGCUCAUUCAGCAGUCACAACACAGGAACGUCGAUACGAAGCGGUCAGGCUAGCCAGGCACCUCCACUUCUGAACCCCAAGGCUCCUAGAAGGCCUGUGUCUCCUCUCAGUUGUGGCCUACGGGUCCCCCUUAGCGGGAGGACCUGGGAAACCACAUCCUAAAUCCAGUAGGCUCCAGUGAGGAGUGCCCAGAGUGGGUCCCCUAAUAAACACACCCAGCGAGGAGACGCAUUUUAGUUCUUUGGA
rnacentral:lncRNA from 1 species